GAGUUUGAUCCUGGCUCAGGACGAACGCUGGCGGCGUGCUUAACACAUGCAAGUCGAACGGUAAGGCCCUUUCGGCGGUACACGAGUGUUCAACGGGUGACUAACACGUGGGUGAUCUGCCCUGCACUUUGGGAUAACCCUGUUAAACUGGGUCUAAUACCGGAUAGGACUACGCGAUGCAUGUCGUGUGCGGGAAAGCUUUUGCGUGGUGUUAUGGGCCCGCGCCCUAUCACCUUGUUGAGGUGGUGAUGGCCUACCAAGGUGACAACGGGUAUCCGGCCUGAGAGGUCGUCCGGCCACACUGGGACUGAUUUGCACCCCACACUCCUACGGGAGGCAACACUGGGAAAUAUUGCACAAGGUGAGCUGGCCUGAUGCCCCGACUCCUCGUGGUUGAUGACGGCCUUCUCUCUGUAAACCUCUUUCAUACCAGAUGAAACGCAGGUGACGGGAUGGGCCUAAUAAGCACCGUUCAACUACGUGCCCACGACCGCGGUUGACGUAGGGUGGCAGCGUUGGCCGGAAUUACUGGGCGUAACCAACUUCUAUGUGGUUUGCCUGGGUGUGCGUGAACACUCACAGGUUCUUUGUGUUGGUGCGAACUAUACCGCAUGAUUGGACGAUUGCGCGGGACACUGUCAUUCCUGUUGAAUUUUAGCCUUGCGCACAUACUCCCGAGGAACACCGACUUAAUGCGUUAGCUACUGCACGGAUCCUGACGCUGAAGAGCACACCUAUGACCAGCGGAUUAGAGUAUGUACCCUGGUAGUCCACGCCGUAAACGGUGGGUACUAGGUGUGGGUUUCCUUCCUUGGGAUCCGUGCCGUAGCUAACGCAUUAAGUACCCCGCCUGGGGAGUACGGCCGCAAGGCUAAAACUCAAAGGAAUUGACGGGGGCCCGCACAAGCGGCGGAGCAUGUGGAUUAAUUCGAUGCAACGCGAAGAACCUUACCUGGGUUUGACAUGCACAGGACGCCGGCAGAGAUGUCGGUUCCCUUGUGGCCUGUGUGCAGGUGGUGCAUGGCUGUCGUCAGCUCGUGUCGUGAGAUGUUGGGUUAAGUCCCGCAACGAGCGCAACCCUUGUCUCAUGUUGCCAGCACGUAAUGGUGGGGACUCGUGAGAGACUGCCGGGGUCAACUCGGAGGAAGGUGGGGAUGACGUCAAGUCAUCAUGCCCCUUAUGUCCAGGGCUUCACACAUGCUACAAUGGCCGGUACAAAGGGCUGCGAUGCCGUGAGGUGGAGCGAAUCCUUGGUAAAGCCGGUCUCAGUUCGGAUCGGGGUCUGCAACUCGACCCCGUGAAGUCGGAGUCGCUAGUAAUCGCAGAUCAGCAACGCUGCGGUGAAUACGUUCCCGGGCCUUGUACACACCGCCCGUUACGUCAUGAAAGUCGGUAACACCCGAAGCCGGUGGCCUAACCCCUUGUGGGAGGGAGCCGUCGAAGGUGGGAUCGGCGAUUGGGACGAAGUCGUAACAAGGUAGCCGUACCGGAAGGUGCGGCUGGAUCACCUCCUUUCU
rnacentral:rRNA from 1 species